ACCUGCGGAAGGAUCAUUACCGAGUAUCGGAGCUCUCGGGCUCCUACUCCCACCCAAUGUUAACUUUAAACGUUGCUUUGGCGGACCGGUUCGCGCCGCCGGCCCCCGCGCUGGAUAGCGUCCGCCAGAGGAUUUUUAAACGCCGCUUAACUGUGAAUUCUGAGCACUUUGAGAAUUGAAUCAAAACUUUCAACAACGGAUCUCUUGGUUCUGGCAUCGAUGAAGAACGCAGCGAAAUGCGAUAAGUAAUGUGAAUUGCAGAAUUCAGUGAAUCAUCGAAUCUUUGAACGCACAUUGCGCCCCUUGGUAUUCCGAGGGGCACGCCUGUUCGAGCGUCAUUUAAACCAUCAAGCCCAGCUUGGUCUUGGACGCGGUCGAGUGACCCGUCCGCAACCCGUUGGCGGUGCGGUCCGGCUUCAAGCGUAGCAAGAAUUUCGCUUUGGGAGCCUGGCGGCGCCCGCCAGGAAAGUCACAUUUCCAUAGUUUGACCUCGGAUCAGGUGGGGAUACCCGCUGAACUUAAGCAUAUCAAUA
rnacentral:rRNA from 1 species